UACACUCCUACGGGAGGCAGCAGUGGGGAAUUUUGGACAAUGGGCGAAAGCCUGAUCCAGCAAUGCCGCGUGAGUGAAGAAGGCCUUCGGGUUGUAAAGCUCUUUUGUCAGGGAAGAAACGGUGAAAGCUAAUAUCUUUUGCUAAUGACGGUACCUGAAGAAUAAGCACCGGCUAACUACGUGCCAGCAGCCGCGGUAAUACGUAGGGUGCAAGCGUUAAUCGGAAUUACUGGGCGUAAAGCGUGCGCAGGCGGUUUUGUAAGUCUGAUGUGAAAUCCCCGGGCUCAACCUGGGAAUUGCAUUGGAGACUGCAAGGCUAGAAUCUGGCAGAGGGGGGUAGAAUUCCACGUGUAGCAGUGAAAUGCGUAGAUAUGUGGAGGAACACCGAUGGCGAAGGCAGCCCCCUGGGUCAAGAUUGACGCUCAUGCACGAAAGCGUGGGGAGCAAACAGGAUUAGAAACCCCGGUAGUCCCAU
rnacentral:rRNA from 1 species